rnacentral:lncRNA from 1 species
GACAGGGGAAGGACGAAAAGCACAAUGAUGACUAUUUGGGGGAAGGAGGCACGUCCCUCACGGAGCUGAGCUUGUAUAAGACACUGUGCUGGGGGCUUAGCAGCUCAUCUCGCUGGGUGAGGCAUACAGGUCCUCAUACCUGGCUGCAGCACCCCCUCCUUCACCCUGGAGCGCCUAUGACAUCCUGGGACAUGUCUGAGAGCAGGCUCCCCGCAACACCAGUCCCAGGGGUACACGAGGCCCUACCAACCCACAUAUAUAUUCCUUUUUCUUUUCUUCUCUGGUAAUGAAUCAUUUUUUUAACUGUAUAAGGAAGGUUACCAAAAAGAGAAGAGAUUAGAAGACAGAAGAGAAGAAGAGAAGAAGAAAUUAUCAUACUCCUAUGACCCCAAGGGCCUGUUAUCACUAAGACACUGCAGUGAAGAAUUGCAACACCGAGGCCAUUCCUUGAUUAUGGAACCUAGUUAGGGAGUCAAGACUCCAACAUGAGGAAUGUUAGAUAAGCACGCAGGAAUGAAGUCGAAGAUAACAGAGCAAGACAAAGACUGAUCGUGUGUGGGCCCUGCGUGGUCUGGGUGCAGGAGGGCAGGUCAUGGUGGGUAGGCCACGGUGGGCUGCGGAGAGAAGUCCUCUGAGAGUCCGAUUUGAAGGAUGGCCAUGGGAUGGGGUGGUGCGGGGGAGCAUCCAAGAGGGAGGCCCGUGAUCUAGGCCUGGAGCCGGGAAGGGGUCUGCAUGCUCAGUGGCCAAAAAGGAGCCCCUUGAGGCCAGAAUAGAAAGAAAACAUCUGCAAGUCCUGGGAGGGUAUGUUAGGGCCAGAAUUUUGAGGACCUUGAAAGCCAGGCAGGGGCGUCCAUGCUGGGAAAAAGAGGAUGAAGACCUCAGAAAGUAAUGCAGCAGAUAAGAGAAGUUCAUGGGGAGAUCAGCCUGGGGGCAGCCCUCAGAAUGGACUAGAGAAAGAACUCAAUAAACUCUUUCAAAAGUUAUAGCAGUCGGCAGAAGAGAGGGAGACCUCUGGAGGGUCUCUCACUAGCAUUUCAAUGAGAC